UGGAUGAGGAAGUAUCUGGAAGAACAGGUGUAUAAGUGAGGCAGCAUGGGGAGUUUUCAGCUCGCUAUACCUGGACGUUUCUGCUGCUCCCAUUGGAUGUUGGAAGUCACAUGACUGCUGGAUGAGGAAGUAUCUGGAAGAACAGGUGUAUAAGUGAGGCAGCAUGGGGAGUUUUCAGCUCGCUAUACCUGGAAAUUCAAACUUCCAGCAGCUACGACGGCAAAAAGCUGCUGAUACUCAUGGUUUUACUGGAGCGGGAGUUUUAUUGAAGCCUACAGGUUAUUGUGAAGAAAAAGGAAGUUAUCAAGCCAAUUUCAUAAAGAAAUUCAAACUUCCAGCGGCUACAACAGCAACAAGCUGCUGAUGCUCAUGUGCUUUUACUGGAGCAGGAGUUAUAUUGAAGUGUAAUCUGUUACCAGGAGCGUCCAGAUGGAGGCGGUGUGGCUCUUCCCUCAGAGCAGACAUGACUCACCACAGCUGACUCGUGCUGCAGCAUCACUUCAUUAUCUCAUUCACAAAAAAAAAAAAAAAAAUACAACCAUUAACUCCUCGGCGGGGCACUUGUGAGGAAUAUCAACUAAAUGAAAGGCUGCGAGAGCCAUAAAAGCAGCGCAAUCACAUCGAGCUACUUAAUUUGAUGGACUAUUUUAUCUGGAUACGCUGCAUUUAUUGUAUCUCCAUUAAAAGGUCAUGUUGGCUCUAAAUCAAGACGCUUAAUGGCCUGAGCAUUUGCCAACAGUAAGGGGAGAAAAAUAGCAAUUGUUAGAAGACAAACAGCCAGCACUGUUAAAAUAAUUGAAAGUAAUGAAAAGGAUUGGACGAUAGAAAACUUUAAGUCAAUAUAGUAUAUAAGCCCCAUUCAUAUGCAUUUCCAUAAUAGUAGCAGGUUUAUUUGCAUAUUUAAAAGAUAUAGAAAUGGGUGUCUUUCCAAUAUAUUCCUAAUAUUAAUAUCUGCAGAGAAAUUUAUUAGUAAAAAGUAAAAUUUCC
ensembl:lncRNA